GAUGAACGCUAGCGGCAGGCUUAAUACAUGCAAGUCGAGGGGCAACACGGGUAGCAAUACCUGGUGGCGACCGGCAAACGGGUGCGGAACACGUACAGAACCUUCCUUUAAGUGGGGAAUAGCCCGGAGAAAUCCGGAUUAAUACCCCGUAACAUUAUUGAAGUGGCAUCACUUUAUAAUUAUAGAUUUAUCGCUUAGAGAUGGCUGUGCGGCUGAUUAGGUAGUUGGUGCGGGUAACGGCCCACCAAGCCUGCGAUCAGUAACUGGUGUGAGAGCACGACCAGUCACACGGGCACUGAGACACGGGCCCGACUCCUACGGGAGGCAGCAGUAAGGAAUAUUGGUCAAUGGACGCAAGUCUGAACCAGCCAUGCCGCGUGAAGGAUGAA
rnacentral:rRNA from 1 species